AAAUAUAUAUUUACAAUAUAUGUGCAAGUGUUCGAAUACUUUCGUGAGCCACUGUACCUCCUCCUCUUCCCGUGGUAUAACCAUAACGGUAGUUGCGCUUUUUAUUGUGUCCAUGUACGUAAUGUGUGUUUCUCUUUGUUCUUUUGUGUCUCAUUUUGUUGCAACCUCUUUGUGAAGUAGCGAGUGUAUGGGGGAGAGGUCGAAAAAAGAAAUCCAUCGCUUCGGGGACCAAAUUCGGGGCCUCCGAGACGGGCUCUCGAUCAACGUGCACGACGUGUUUUCAAUUCAUCGUACGUCACGCGUGGAUGGAACGUUAUCUACCUUAUUAGCGAUAUUCUCAGCCGAUGAAAACUGUACUUGGCUCUUCUUCGCACGAUCGGAUCGUUUGUAACUGCUACCUGUGCUUGUAAC
rnacentral:misc_RNA from 1 species